CUGAACUCUGCUUGGAUCCAGCGCUAGGGCCCUGGGAAGGUGGCGAUGGCCCUGUGGCCUGGCUUCUCCGCUGAGCACGGCAGGCCCCCUGGUCCUGGCGCCUGGGCUUGUCCUGCACUGUCCUCAAGAGUUACCUGCCAGGAAGACUGUCUCGUGGCCACUCCUCCCCCCAGUCACCAUCAUGGUCACUAUCAACAUUCCGCCUGCUCCGGCGCACCAGCUGUCUGGACCCUGGACUGUGGCUGGGUGUCAGGCCGAGGCUGAGGA